AGCGAACGCUGGCGGCAGGCUUAACACAUGCAAGUCGAGCGGGCACUUCGGUGUCAGCGGCAGACGGGUGAGUAACGCGUGGGAACGUGCCCUUCGGUUCGGAAUAACUCAGGGAAACUUGAGCUAAUACCGGAUACGCCCUUUUGGGGAAAGGUUUAUCUGCCGAAGGAUCGGCCCGCGUCUGAUUAGCUAGUUGGUGAGGUUAUGGCUCACCAAGGCUACGAUCAGUAGCUGGUCUGAGAGGACGAUCAGCCACACUGGGACUGAGAACACGGCCCAGACUCCUACGGGAGGCAGCAGUGGGGAAUAUUGGACAAUGGGGGCAACCCUGAUCCAGCCAUGCCGCGUGAGUGAUGACGGCCUUAGGGUUGUAAAGCUCUUUUCUCCGGGACGAUAAUGACGGUACCGGAGGAAUAAGCCCCGGCUAACUUCGUGCCAGCAGCCGCAGUAA
rnacentral:rRNA from 1 species